rnacentral:rRNA from 1 species
CCUACGGGAGGCAGCAGUGAGGAAUAUUGGGCAAUGGGCGGAAGCCUGACCCAGCCAUGCCGCGUGCAGGAAGACGGUCCUAUGGAUUGUAAACUGCUUUUAUACGGGAAGAAACACUCCGACGUGUCGGAACUUGACGGUACCGUAAGAAUAAGGAUCGGCUAACUCCGUGCCAGCAGCCGCGGUAAUACGGAGGAUCCAAGCGUUAUCCGGAAUCAUUGGGUUUAAAGGGUCCGUAGGCGGCCUUAUAAGUCAGUGGUGAAAUCUCCUAGCUCAACUAGGAAACUGCCAUUGAUACUGUAGGGCUUGAAUUUUUGUGAAGUAACUAGAAUAUGUAGUGUAGCGGUGAAAUGCUUAGAUAUUACAUGGAAUACCAAUUGCGAAGGCAGGUUACUAACAAACGAUUGACGCUGAUGGACGAAAGCGUGGGGAGCGAACAGGAUUAGAUACCCUGGUAGUCCACGCCGUAAACGAUGGAUACUAGCUGUUCGGAUUUAUCUGAGUGGCUAAGCGAAAGUGAUAAGUAUCCCACCUGGGGAGUACGAACGCAAGUUUGAAACUCAAAUGAAUUGACGG